UUUUCUUCAUCUCUCACUUCUUCUUGCUACUAGCUUGUUCACAAGAAAAAAGCAAUGGCUUCCAAAGCUUUGAUUCUGGUGGGUCUCUUUGUUGUUCUUCUCGUGGCCUCGGAGGUCGCAGCCAGAGAUCUCGCUGAAACCUCGACCGAGAAGAACAGCGAAGCCACCGAGGAGGCACAGCACCCUGACGGACUCGGACCAUUCAAAGGUCUCAUAGGCAGAAUCCCUGUCAAACCCCCCAGACCUGGCAACCGUGGCGGACCAGGAGGUGGCUGCCCCAACGGUGCCUGCCGCAAAGGAUUCUUUCGCUGCAAAAAGUGUUGCUGAUCUUACGCCGGCGAGGCUGUCCAAACUCAGCCGGAGAACGAGCCUGGUCACUAGACCUAUAUAUAUAUCUAUAUAUAUAUAUAUAUAGUUAGUGUGUGUGUGUGUGUAUGUGUAUGUGUAUGUACGUACGUACACUAGGGCCAUGCAUAAUUGUGGAUUUACGUAUACGCUCUCGUGUCUAUGUGUAGGAGAAACCUCAUGGGGCUUUGAUGAUGAAGUACGUGUGUAUAUGCAUAGACUAAAUAAAAACUUCGUGGAAGUUUCUGCUUUUCAUUCUAUAUAUAUACCACGUUCUCA